rnacentral:lncRNA from 1 species
GGAUGUGAGGGUGAUCUGGGUGUGACAUUUUUGUCACCCCAUUGAUCACCAGUGUUGAUUUGGCUGGCUAGGCAAAUGUCGCCUUCUUCCCUCACCACUCCAUGUGUGUCCCUCUCCAAAAUUCGUGCUUGGUGGAAGAGGAUGCCCUUCCCUGGUAGAGGAGGGCUGUUCUUCAGUCAAGGGUCUACCAGUAUACCAGUAGAUGUGCUCCCCUGCUUGAACCUCCAAACAAGCUCUCA